UUUCUAAAAUUUACCAAAACCCUUACCUCGUACUGAAUGACUUCAUAAUUCUAUGAAAAACCAUAUGCUAGAACUAGUAACAAGAAGAAGACCUUCUCCAAAAUGCUAACAUAAGCCAGAAUGAACAACUCACUGGCACUUAUCGUCCAUGGGCCAACAGUAACAACUAAACUAGAAAACACUACUACCCACAACGUUAACCUUACACUAGUACAUUUAUGGAAAGAUUAAAAGAAAGGGAAGGAACUCGGCAAACUAUAACCCCGCCUGUUUACCAAAAACACCGCCUCUUGACAAUUAUAGGAGGUCCAGCCUGCCCAGUGACCAAAUUAAACGGCCGCGGUACCCUAACCGUGCAAAGGUAGCACAAUCACUUGUUCUCUAAAUAAGGACUAGUAUGAAUGGCAUCACGAGGGUUACACUGUCUCCCCACUCUAAUCAAUGAAACUGACCCCCCCGUGAAGAGGCGGGAAUAAUCUUAUAAGACGAGAAGACCCCAUGGAGCUUUAAACUUAGCAUCAAUUACUCUACAAAUAACCUACAAUCAUGUAAACCUGACAGCUAGUUUUCGGUUGGGGCGACCGCGGGGUAAAACAAAGCCCCCGCAAUGAAAGGAACCAACCUCCUAAUCCAAGGACUACAACCCUAAGAAUCAAAAAACUGACAUCAAUUGACCCAAAUAUUUUUGACCAACGAACCUAGUUACCCUGGGGAUAACAGCGCAAUCCAUUUCAAGAGCUCAUAUCGACAAAUGGGUUUACGACCUCGAUGUUGGAUCAGGGUACCCCAGUGGCGCAGCCGCUACUAAAGGU
rnacentral:rRNA from 1 species